UGGGGAAUAUUGGACAAUGGGCGCAAGCCUGAUCCAGCCAUGCCGCGUGCAGGAUGACGGUCCUAUGGAUUGUAAACUGCUUUUGUACAGGAAGAAACAGUUCUACGUGUAGAACCUUGACGGUACUGUAAGAAUAAGGAUCGGCUAACUCCGUGCCAGCAGCCGCGGUAAUACGGAGGAUCCAAGCGUUAUCCGGAAUCAUUGGGUUUAAAGGGUCCGUAGGCGGUUAGAUAAGUCAGUGGUGAAAGCCCAUCGCUCAACGGUGGAACGGCCAUUGAUACUGUCUGACUUGAAUUAUUAGGAAGUAACUAGAAUAUGUAGUGUAGCGGUGAAAUGCUUAGAGAUUACAUGGAAUACCAAUUGCGAAGGCAGGUUACUACUAAUGGAUUGACGCUGAUGGACGAAAGCGUGGGUAGCGAACAGGAUUAGAUACCCGUGUAGUCCCUGAGCGGGCUGGCAAGGCGCAU
rnacentral:rRNA from 1 species